rnacentral:misc_RNA from 1 species
GAAAAUGUGAUUUGUUUAUGCAGGUUGGUUGUCUCGGUGCUAAUCUUUUGAUAAUUAACUUUUUCGGGUACAAUUUCAUUUGUAAUUGCAUGUGAGAUUCUGUUGAUGUAGAACUUUUUUCCUCUUUGUAUUGCUUUAUGGAAAAGCCUGAAUGUUGGAUAAGAUACCUACUUCGUGCAUGAUAAUUGAUAAACAAGAGAAAUCUACAAAUGAUAUGCAUCAGUAUAUGCCAUUUGAAUGCAAUUAGAUUUUUCAUGUUGCUUCUUAAUGUUAUUCUUGUUAGCAUGCAGGUUGUUUCAGCUAAGGUUAUU